rnacentral:sRNA from 2 species
ACAUUCGUCAAGGGGGAGUAGCGUUAGCCUUAUUUGGAGGCUAAGAUAAAGUCGUCAUUACAUGGAUGCGAGUCCAUCGGUUUUAUCAACAUUUUUUGUAUGAAAAUGUC